rnacentral:piRNA from 1 species
UAAGAUACUUAAAUUCCAUUU